rnacentral:snRNA from 1 species
GGAUGUGAGGGCGAUCUGGCUGGCUAGGCGGGUGUCCCCCUCCUCCCUCACUGAUCCAUGUGCGUCCCUCCCGAAGCUGCACCCUUGGUCCAAGAGGACGACCUUCUCCCCAGAGGAGAGGACCGGUCUUCGAUCAAGGGUAUACGAGUAGCUGCGCUCCCUGUUAGAACCUCCAAACAAGCUCUCAAGGAUAUCACUACUUGAUCAUAUUAUUUAUGAACAGCUCUAAUUGAUAAAGGGAAAAUGUCUGUCCAAUAUAU